rnacentral:lncRNA from 1 species
ACAAACAGUAAUGAGAAAAAAUAUCACAAUGAUUCCUAUGUAAAGUUUUUUGUAAAAUAUAUUCAAAAAAGCAUAAAUAAUUAGCAAAUUUAAGUAUGUAAAACAAAUAAUGAGCACAUAUCCUUUCUCUCUAGUUUAAUUGAGAGUUAAGAGUUAACAUAGCAACACUCUACUUAGUUUAUGAUAAAGAACUCAUAACUUAUGCUUUUACCUUCGCGGAAUCACAUCUCCCAUCUUUUCCAUGAGUCAUCCGUUUCCAUGAGUCAUCCGUUGCUGCCCUUGUAAAAUAUAAGAUAAAAUAGGAUAAUUUUUUUAUUAGAGAAUGCAAAUGAUAUUAUCAUUAAUUAGGAAUAAGCGCAACAUAAAAUUGAAUUGAUACAACAUAAAAACAAAUAGGAAACACUACACAAAGUGAAUGCAAAAAUCAUAAAAUAUAUAAAUUAUUAGCCAAAUA